UUACACAUGCAAGUCGAACGGCAGCACGGGUGCUUGCACUGGUGGCGAGUGGCGAACGGGUGAGUAAUACAUCGGAACAUGUCCUGUAGUGGGGGAUAGCCCGGCGAAAGCCGGAUUAAUACCGCAUACGAUCUACGGAUGAAAGCGGGGGACCUUCGGGCCUCGCGCUAUAGGGUUGGCCGAUGGCUGAUUAGCUAGUUGGUGGGGUAAAGGCCUACCAAGGCGACGAUCAGUAGCUGGUCUGAGAGGACGACCAGCCACACUGGGACUGAGACACGGCCCAGACUCCUACGGGAGGCAGCAGUGGGGAAUUUUGGACAAUGGGCGAAAGCCUGAUCCAGCAAUGCCGCGUGUGUGAAGAAGGCCUUCGGGUUGUAAAGCACUUUUGUCCGGAAAGAAAUCCUUGGCUCUAAUACAGUCGGGGGAUGACGGUACCGGAAGAAUAAGCACCGGCUAACUACGUGCCAGCAGCCGCGGUAAUACGUAGGGUGCGAGCGUUAAUCGGAAUUACUGGGCGUAAAGCGUGCGCAGGCGGUUUGCUAAGACCGAUGUGAAAUCCCCGGGCUCAACCUGGGAACUGCAUUGGUGACUGGCAGGCUAGAGUAUGGCAGAGGGGGGUAGAAUUCCACGUGUAGCAGUGAAAUGCGUAGAGAUGUGGAGGAAUACCGAUGGCGAAGGCAGCCCCCUGGGCCAAUACUGACGCUCAUGCACGAA
rnacentral:rRNA from 1 species